GAAGCAGUGAUGUGAAGCAAAUCGCACCAAAGCCAGUCCCAGUUCGGAUAAGAGGCUGAAACUCGCCUCUUUGAAGUCGGAAUCGCUAGUAAUCGCAGAUCAGCAUGUUGCGGUGAAUACGUUCCCGGGUCUUGUACACACCGCCCGUCAAACCAUGAGAGUCACCAACACCCGAAGUCCGCCUUGGCGGCCUAAGGUGGGGGAGAUGAUUGGGGUUAAGUCGUAACAAGGUAUC
rnacentral:rRNA from 1 species